rnacentral:rRNA from 1 species
UAAGCGUGCGCAGGCGGUUAUAUAAGACAGAGGUGAAAUCCCCGGGCUCAACCUGGGAACUGCCUUUGUGACUGUAUGGCUAGAGUGUGUCAGAGGGGGGUAGAAUUCCACGUGUAGCAGUGAAAUGCGUAGAUAUGUGGAGGAAUACCGAUGGCGAAGGCAGCCCCCUGGGAUAACACUGACGCUCAUGCACGAAAGCGUGGGGAGCAAACAGGAUUAGAUACCCGGGU